AUGUGUGUCUGUGCGUUCGGCUUGUCUGAGCGCGCACUCCCACCCUUGUCUAUCUUACCUGUUGCUUCGGCGGACCUGCGGGUUCUCCUGCUGCCGGGGACUUGUCUCUGGCUCGCGUCCGCCGAAGAUAAACGAACUCCAGUCGAAGAUUGAAGUCUGAAGAAAAUUGAUAAAUAAAUCA
rnacentral:misc_RNA from 1 species